GACGAACGCUGGCGGCGUGCUUAACACAUGCAAGUCGAACGGAAAGGCCCUGCUUUUGUGGGGUGCUCGAGUGGCGAACGGGUGAGUAACACGUGAGUAACCUGCCCUUGACUUUGGGAUAACUUCAGGAAACUGGGGCUAAUACCGGAUAGGAGCUCCUGCUGCAUGGUGGGGGUUGGAAAGUUUCGGCGGUUGGGGAUGGACUCGCGGCUUAUCAGCUUGUUGGUUGGGUAGUGGCUUACCAAGGCUUUGACGGGUAGCCGGCCUGGGAGGGUGACCGGCCACAUUGGGACUGAGAUACGGCCCAGACUCCUACGGGAGGCAGCAGUGGGGAAUAGUGCACAAUGGGCGGAAGCCUGAUGCAGCAACGCCGCGUGCGGGAUGACGGCCUUCGGGUUGUAAACCGCUUUCGCCUGUGACGAAGCGUGAGUGACGGUAAUGGGUAAAGAAGCACCGGCUAACUACGUG
rnacentral:rRNA from 1 species